AUACAAAAUAUUUAAUGUAGUAUGUAGAUGAAUAUUAAUAUUGAGGAUGAUCAUCUAAUUCAGUCCUCGUGUUGAUCCAAAUAUAAAUUAUAUAAUUAAUACGAGAAAUGAUGACGAUUGUUAUUCCAAUACCGAUUUUGGUUGGUUAAUACAACGUAGAGAUCAUCUUUAUUUCUUUAAAGUAGAAACGACAGAGAAACAUAAAUCAAAUUUUAAAGUAAAUUAUAAACUUACAAACAUUAUUGGCAUACAAAUAAAACAAAACCUUUCAGGUAAGAAAAAUUAUUUUUAAACUUAAUUAAUGCAUUCAAAAGUACACACAAACAUAUCUAACACACUUUGACAAAUAAUAUAACACCGUUGGACAAUCCGACCUAGUAAAGCAGGGAAUCUUUUUUAUCUUUUCUGCAUUAGAAAUUUUUUAAAAAUAAAUAAAGUUAUUAAAAUGUGAUAAAAUAUUGUGUAAAAGAUAAAUUGAAAAUGGUGCGAAAAAUAAAAUACCUUCACUGGCUUCAUUGGUUUCAUUGGUUUCAGUUACAAAUACAAAAUGAAAGAUGAUCAAAGCAUAAAUAAAUAUUAGAAUUUGAGUCAUAUUUUUUCUCUUUUUCUUUUGUAUUAUAUAUUUUUUUCUCUUUUUGUAGGUAAUAAACAUAAUAUUUUGAUUGCUUUAUACGUAAAAUGUACAUGCCUUGUUAGCAUCAAUUAAGUUUUUUUUUAACACUUAGGAGUUGG
rnacentral:lncRNA from 1 species